GCCGUUAUAGCUCAGUUGGUAGAGCACUUCACUCGUAAUGAAGGGGUCAACGGUUCGACUCCGUUUAACGGCUCCA
rnacentral:tRNA from 3 species